CCACCAAGCAGGCGUGUACUUGGGUGA
rnacentral:piRNA from 1 species